rnacentral:rRNA from 1 species
UGAGGCCUACGGGAGGCAGCAGUGGGGGAUAUUGCGCAAUGGGCGAAAGCCUGACGCAGCGACGCCGCGUGAGGGAUGAAGGUCUUCGGAUCGUAAACCUCUGUCAGCAGGGAAGAACGGUCACUGUGCUAAUCAGCAGUGAAUUGACGGUACCUGCAAAGGAAGCACCGGCUAACUCCGUGCCAGCAGCCGCGGUAAUACGGAGGGUGCGAGCGUUAAUCGGAAUUACUGGGCGAAAAGCGCUCGUAGGCGGGAUGUCAAGUCAAGGGUGAAGUCCC